GAUGAACGCUGGCGGCGUGCCUAAUACAUGCAAGUCGAGCGAAGCGGGGACGGGUGAGUAACACGUGGAUAACCUCCUAUAAGACUGGGAUAACUUCGGGAAACCGGAGCUAAACCGGAUACUUAUAGAUGGAUCCGCGCUGCAUUAGCUAGUUGGUAAGGUAACGGCUUACCAAGGCAACGAUGCAUAGCCGACCUGAGCGGGGGUUCGUCCACACUGGACCGUGGCACGGGUCCGACCUCCGACGGGAGGAAGCAGAGGGGAUUCUCCGGAAAGGGGCGAAAUCUUGACGGAGCAACGCGGCGGGAGUGAUGAGGUUUUUUGGAUCGUAAAAUGUUGUUAUUAGGGAGGCGGUACCUACUCAGAAAGCCACGGCUAACUACGUGCCAGCAGCCGCGGUAUUAC
rnacentral:rRNA from 1 species